rnacentral:lncRNA from 1 species
AAUAUUUAUUAAGGAAUAAUAUCUUAUAUAUUUUUUAAAAAUUUUAAAAUAUUUUGUAUAUUUUUAUUUUUUUGUUUCAAAUGUAGUGUUCUCAUAUUUUUUUCGUUAUUAAAAAAUAACUCCGCUAUUAGUACCCAUUAAGUCAUUUCGAAUUAAACCCGAAUUAAAUUUCUAUCGGAAUUAAAAAAAAGUCAAAAUAUCUCUUUUACCCCUAAUUUAAUGGUAAUAAAAAAUAUUGGUAAUAGUAAAAAAGUAUAUUUAAAAUGAUAAAAGAGUAAUUUUACAGAGAUAUAUAAUAGCUGUUUCUUACUGCUCACUAACAGAAUUUAACUCUAGGGUUGAAAUAACUUGGACGUUAAAGAAGUAUUUUUAAUAUUAAACUUUCUAAGGAGGGGAAAUAAGAAAGUCACAAAUUUUUCAAAAACAUAUAAGUAAUUG